GCUCACAACCCCCACGCUGGGGGGGCCACGAUUCAGCCGCGCCGCGGGGUCCGCGCGGGGCUCGCAACCAGGGCACGCGGGCCCCCAGAUUCCGCGGGAUCUGAGCGCCCGGAGGCGGGGUGGGCCUCCUCUUUGUGCCGACGAGGGGGCGGGGCCUCGCGGAGCUGGGCCAAUCCGAGGCGGCCGCAGCCCUGGGAAGCCAAUGGCGGGGCUGUGGGCGGGGAGAGGGAGCCGGAGCGCCGAGCCGCGGCGGAGAGAGGGGCCCUGGAUCCGGCAGUGGGGGUCGGAGGCUUCUACAUAGGUCUGAGGGAGGCUUCCGGAAGGGCCCUACUCCAGAACAAUCCAGCCCCGCCCAGCUUGGCGAAGCAGGAGCGUCUGCAGCGCCACCUGGCGGCCGUCAGGAGCUCCGCAGCCCAAUCCGGAGAGGAGGAGUUUGUCUCCGAGAGAGCCUGAGCCGGCAGAGUCACGCAGGGAAUCCAGACCCAACCAACUCUGUUCGCCCAGCCCCCUUCCAAAGGCCACCCGGGAUUGGAAAUAGAGCCAGCCGCCACCCCACGCCAUUUCCUUCCAAUCUGCCCCACCGACAGCCGAGGCCAGGCUCUGGGAUGGAGGUUCCAGGAGGGUGGGAACGAGUCUCGGCCCCCCUCCCUGGUUGCCUCCCCCCCCCCCCCCCCCCCCCAGAUCAGGUUUCCAGUUCCCUAUUUCUUCCCUCAGUCCUCAGGCUAUAUUCCCGCCGCUAACCCGCUGGGCCGCGGGUGGGUGGAGAACUGAGACCUUGGGCUUCGAGGGCCUAGAGAGUUUGGGGGUGGGGCCUCUGCGAAGGCAACGCCCCCUCCCUAGCCCCUUUGGAGCAUCCCUCCCACCCUCCCCCAGUUCGCGGAAUUCCGCUGAGUCACUUCCGAGGCUGCCUCUGCAGCCCCAGGGGGAAGAGUGCCAUUCGAUUCGAUUCCCUAGGCAGCGGCCCAGCGCUCACCUGGGAGACCCGACUACUGUCUUGUCUAAACGGCUCUUCGUGUCUAGCGAAGCCAACCCCACCUCAUCCCCUGCCGUCCUCCCCCAGCCACCCUGGUGGCCGUGCAAGCUGCUACCUCAGGGCCUUUGCACUGGCUUGUGUCCUCUCACUGGCACACCCCUCCCUGCGCACCUGUAGCCUGUACGUACUUCCCACGGUCACUGCCAAGGCAUCUGCUCCAGUGGGGAUGUGUCAGAUGGGAGCAAGGGGGCACCUGCCACCGUGACCCGCAGAUGCUUGGGUGGCCAGUUAGAUUGGAAAAGAUGCAGACUGCAAACCGGGAGCGCCACGUGCUGCGUGGUGCAAGUGACAGGUGCGCGCGCGCCCGGUCUGCGUGACCGUGUGUGCCUCAAUGAGAGGCUGCAGGUGCGUAGCGGGAGCACAGGCGCGCGCUGAGCGCGCAUCCCACGAAUUCCCCGCCAGCCCAGAUGCCCAUCUUGGAGCUGUUGUCUCCCGGCUCCAAGCCCACCUUUCACAGCUAGGCUCUGGCUGGGGGUCUGCAAACUACAAUUCCCAGAAUCCUUGUCGCCCCCGGAAUUCCUGCUAGGUUCGGCCAGUAGGAGGUGUCAGGGCUCUUAACCUUUCCCGUGCCGGGAACCUUGCGGUCGCCUGUGGCACCUAAGGAUACAUACGGUCCUCUUCUCAGAAAUACGCUGUUUACAAAACGUUUAAGCCUUUAACUUGUGUUUUUACUGCAUCCUGCAUUUUAAAAUUUGUGGCAAAGUAACAUAACUUCCCCAUCGCAAACAAUUUUAACUUUAGAGUUUAGUAGUAAGUACAUUAAUUCUGUGGUGAAACAGCACCCCAGAACUUUCUCCUCUUGCAAAUGGGAAACCCUACACGCAUUAAAUUCCCUUUUCCCCCAAUGCCCCUGGUAACCACCCUUGUGCUUUCUGUUUCUGAGUAUGGCUCCUUUAGAUACCUCGUAUAAAUGCAAUCAUACAGUAUUUGUUUUUUGGCGUCUGGCUGAGUCACUCAGCGUAAUGUGCUCAAGGUUCAUGCAUGUUGUAGCAGAGUGAACGUUUCCUUCUCGUCCUUUUAAAACUGGAAUUAUAGGGGCGCCCGGCUGGUUCAGGCGGUGGAGGAAGCGACUCUUGAUCUUGGGGUUACGGGUUCUAGCCCUACGCUGAGUGUAGAGAUUACCUUAAAAAUAAAAUCUUUAAAAAUAAAUAGAUAAAAGUGGAAUUGUCUUUCAUUGCUUGUACUGUUGUUUAUCCAUUCAUCACAGAUAGACAUUUGGGCAGAAUACUUUUCAGUGCCCAAAGUAAAAUGCAUAGAAUUACAAAGGAAACUUUGUGAUUUUUUUUUCUCUUUGAGGCGAUUUAUAUAUAUAUUUUAUUUUUUUUUAAUUUACAUCCAAAUUAGCAUCUAGUGCAACAAUGAUUUCAGGAGUAGAUUCCUUCGUGCCCCUUACCCAUUUAGCCCAUCCCCCCUCCCACACCCCCUCCAGCAACCCUCUGUUUGUUCUCCAUAUUUAUGAGUCUCUUCUGUUUUGUCCCCCUCCCUGUUUUUAUAUUAUUUUUGUUUCCCUUCCCUUAUCUGUUUCGUCUCUUAAAGUCCUCAUAUGAGUGAAGUCAUAGGAUAUUUGUCUUUCUCUGACUGAUUUCACUUAGCAGAAAACCCUCCAGUUCCAUCCACGUAGUCGCAGAUGGCAGGAUUUCAUUCUUUUUGAUGGCCGAGUAAUACUCCAUUGUAUAUAUAGACCACAUCUUCUUUAUCCGUUCACCCAUCGAUGGACAUUUGGGCUCUUUCCAUCCUUUGGCUAUUGUCGAUAGUGCUGCCGUAAACAUCGGGGUGCAUGUGUCCCUUCGAAACAGCAUACCUGUAUCCCGUGGAUAAAUGCCUAGCAGUGCCAUUGCUGGGUGGUAGGGUAGUUCUAUUCUUAGUUUUUUGAGGACCCUCCAUACUGUUUUCCAGAGUGGCUGCACCCACUUGCAUUCCGAAGGAAACUUUGUAAUUUAAUUGCAGUUGUCAACAAGCUGAAAGAACAAAUGUGUCAUACAGUAACCAAUAUAUGCAUUCCUUUAUUAAUGCAUCAAAUAACAUAUCUCAAGCCUAGAAACUCUAGACUAUGGGGACUCCAGCCAGGUUUCUGUCCACCAGACCUCAAGUUUCCCCUACUAUAUUGGUCAAGUGACACUUAUUUAUUUGUUAUAUUUAUUUAUUUAUUUAUUUUGAGA